rnacentral:rRNA from 1 species
UGCAAGUCGAACGAUGAAGCCAGYUUGCUGGUGGAUUAGUGGCGAACGGGUGAGUAACACGUGGGUGAUCUGCCCCAAACUUUGGGAUAAGCCUGGGAAACUGGGUCUAAUACCGAAUAUGACCGAUACUCGCAUGGGUGUUGGUGGAAAGCUCCGGCGGUUUGGGAUGGGCCCGCGGCCUAUCAGCUUGUUGGUGGGGUAAUGGCCUACCAAGGCGACGACGGGUAGCCGGCCUGAGAGGGCGACCGGCCACACUGGGACUGAGACACGGCCCAGACUCCUACGGGAGGCAGCAGUGGGGAAUAUUGCACAAUGGGCGCAAGCCUGAUGCAGCGACGCCGCGUGAGGGAUGACGGCCUUCGGGUUGUAAACCUCUUUCACCAGGGACGAAGCGAAAGUGACGGUACCUGGAGAAGAAGCACCGGCCAACUACGUGCCAGCAGCCGCGGUAAUACGUAGGGUGCGAGCGUUGUCCGGAAUUACUGGGCGUAAAGAGCUCGUAGGCGGUUUGUCGCGUCGUUCGUGAAAACUUGGGGCUUAACUCCAAGCGUGCGGGCGAUACGGGCAGACUUGAGUACUACAGGGGAGACUGGAAUUCCUGGUGUAGCGGUGAAAUGCGCAGAUAUCAGGAGGAACACCGGUGGCGAAGGCGGGUCUCUGGGUAGUAACUGACGCUGAGGAGCGAAAGCGUGGGUAGCGAACAGGAUUAGAUACCCUGGUAGUCCACGCCGUAAACGGUGGGUACUAGGUGUGGGUUCCUUUUCACGGGAUCCGUGCCGUAGCUAACGCAUUAAGUACCCCGCCUGGGGAGUACGGCCGCAAGGCUAAAACUC